rnacentral:misc_RNA from 1 species
CAACCCUCAAGCCUGGCUUGGUGUUGGGGCUCUGCGCACCGCAGUCCCUGAAAUUCAGUGGCGGACACGCUAGGUCUCCGAGCGCAGUAGUUUCUUCUCGCUUCGGGCGUCCGGCGUGGGCUUGCCUCGCACCCCACUUCUCAA